rnacentral:ncRNA from 1 species
UACUAGAAUCGAUUUCGCUACGCCCGGACGAGACGCGCCGUACCCGGUCAAGACAAGACGACGCACU